rnacentral:rRNA from 1 species
UAUUGGUCAAUGGCCGGAAGGCUGAACCAGCCAUGCCGCGUGAAGGUCAGUGCCCUAUGGGCGUUAAACUUCCUUUGUGCGGGAGCAANAAGGUCCACGUGUGGGCCGACGAGAGUACCGUACGAAUAAGGAUCGGCUAACUCCGUGCCAGCAGCCGCGGUAAUACGGAGGAUCCGAGCGUUAUCCGGAUUUAUUGGGUUUAAAGGGAGCGUAGGUGGAUUGUUAAGUCAGUUGUGAAAGUUUGCGGCUCAACCGUAAAAUUGCAGUUGAAACUGGCAGUCUUGAGUACAGCAGAGGUGGGCGGAAUUCGUGGUGUAGCGGUGAAAUGCGUAGAUAUUACGAAGAACUCCGAUUGCGAAGGCAGCUCACUAGACUGCAACUGACACUGAUGCUCGAAAGUGUGGGUAUCAAAC